UACGGAGGAUGCAAGCGUUAUCCGGAUUCAUUGGGUUUAAAGGGUGCGUAGGCGGGGCGGUAAGUCAGUGGUGAAAGCCUGCAGCUUAACUGUAGAAUUGCCAUUGAUACUGUCGCUCUUGAAUGCGGUUGAGGCAGGCGGAAUGUGUAAUGUAGCGGUGAAAUGCUUAGAUAUUACACAGAACACCGAUUGCGUAGGCAGCUUGCUAAACCGUGAUUGACGCUGAGGCACGAAAGCGUGGGGAGCAAACAGG
rnacentral:rRNA from 1 species